AGGGGCGUAGCUCAGUGGCCAGAGCACCGGUCUCCAAAACCGCGCGUCGCAGGUUCGAUCCCUGCCGCCCCUGCCC
rnacentral:tRNA from 1 species